GCCCUCAAUCCGAAUUGUGGCGUUUAUCGCCGCGUUUCCUCCGGGAAUAGGACUGGGGGUUUUC
rnacentral:ncRNA from 12 species